rnacentral:rRNA from 1 species
AUGGACGGAUCCCGGAGGCCCGUCGCGGAUCCGGCCUCCCUCUUCCUCUCAUGUCCGCGCCUGCCCCUCUACUCUGCCCGUCGUCGCCCCUGCCUGGCCGCCUCGUCACCGGCGGCCCGCUCCUCGUCGGCCACCUCUCCGACCCGCCAUGGCCUCCCCCGAGCUCACGGACCUCCCCUGCCGCUCGAUAUGCCGGAGCCCAGGAGCCAGACGCCACCAUCGACGACGACUCCUACUACACCGGAGGUGCCUGCUACUACGUGGAGGCCGCUGACAACGACCAGGAGUAGUUUAGGAGGAUCCAGGCAGGAGGCCCGCGCCUCUUUCGAUCCAUAUCCCAGUUUGUGCUAG